rnacentral:rRNA from 1 species
CUGGCUCAGAACGAACGCUGGCGGCGUGCUUAAUACAUGCAAGUCGAACGUGAUUCCCGACUUCGGUUGGGAUGAAAGUGGCGAACGGGUGAGUAACACGUAAGUAAUCUGCCUUCAAGUUUUGGGAUAACCCUGCCAACGCGGGGGCUAAUACCGGAUGUGGUCCAGCAGACCCAUGUUUGCGGGAUUAAAGGUCGCGAGACCGCUUGGAGAUGAGCUUGCGGCCCAUUAGCUAGUUGGUGAGGUAACGGCCCACCAAGGCAGGGAUGGGUAGCCGGCCUGAGAGGGUGUACGGCCACAUUGGGACUGAGAUACGGCCCAGACUCCUACGGGAGGCAGCAGUAGGGAAUUUUGCGCAAUGGACGGAAGUCUGACGCAGCAACGCCGCGUGAAGGAUGAAGGCCUUCGGGUUGUAAACUUCUGUUGGAUGGGAAAAAAGCCUUUUAAGAGGAAUUGAUGGUACCAUUCGAGUAAGCACCGGCUAACUACGUGCCAGCCGCCGC